rnacentral:piRNA from 1 species
CGAUAUGUGGUCAGUGCUCCAGCAGGC